GAUGAACGCUGGCGGCGUGCCUAAUACAUGCAAGUCGAGCGAACAGACGAGGAGCUUGCUCCUCUGACGUUAGCGGCGGACGGGUGAGUAACACGUGGAUAACCUACCUAUAAGACUGGGAUAACUUCGGGAAACCGGAGCUAAUACCGGAUAAUAUAUUGAACCGCAUGGUUCAAUAGUGAAAGACGGUUUUGCUGUCACUUAUAGAUGGAUCCGCGCCGCAUUAGCUAGUUGGUAAGUUAACGGCUUACCAAGGCAACGAUGCAUAGCCGACCUGAGAGGGUGAUCGGCCACACUGGAACUGAGACACGGUCCAGACUCCUACGGGAGGCAGCAGUAGGGAAUCUUCCGCAAUGGGCGAAAGCUUGACGGAGCAACGCCGCGUGAGUGAUGAAGGUCUUCGGAUCGUAAAACUCUGUUAUUAGGGAAGAACAAAUGUGUAAGUAACUAUGCACGUCUUGACGGUACCUAAUCAGAAAGCCACGGCUAACUACGUG
rnacentral:rRNA from 1 species